rnacentral:tRNA from 1 species
GCGCUGGUGGUGUAAUGAGUUACCAUCCUGCCCGGAAAGCAGUGUGUGCGGGUUCGAGUCCCGUCUUGCGCA